CACGCCAGCCAAUAGGAGCACGCGUUGCCAUAGCAGCGGCGUGGGGGCGAUACAGCCAAUGGGAGGGCGCGACAUUGAGGCUGCCAGGCGUGAAGCCGGCGGGAUGGCCUCCGGCUUUAAGAAGCCGUCGCUGGGAGCCGCGGCCCCGAGGAGGAGGGCGAGCCCCAAGCUGGAGCUGCCGGAGGAGCAGCAGCGGGAGAUCCGCGAGGCCUUCGAGCUCUUCGACACCAAUGGCAGCGGCAGCAUCGAUGUCAAGGAACUGAAGGUGGCCAUGAGGGCCCUGGGGUUUGAACCUAAGAAAGAAGAGAUCAAGAAAAUGAUCUCAGACAUCGAUAAGGAAGGGACAGGAAAAAUCAGCUUCAGUGACUUCCUGGCAGUGAUGUCACAGAAAAUGGCUGAAAAAGAUUCCAAAGAGGAGAUUCUCAAAGCUUUCAAGCUCUUUGAUGAUGAUGAAACUGGAAAAAUCUCUUUCAAAAACCUCAAACGCGUGGCCAAAGAGCUGGGGGAGAACCUCACAGAUGAAGAGCUGCAGGAGAUGAUUGACGAGGCAGAUCGGGAUGGGGAUGGGGAAGUGAGCGAGCAGGAGUUCCUGAGGAUCAUGAAGAAGACCAGCCUUUACUGAAGCCCGGUGGAAUUCAUUCCCUGGCACUUGUGUACAUCCCUUAGGUGGGGGCCUCACUUCUGUAGUGUCUUGAUUUCUUUGGAGGCAGCAGAAAAUACAGGGCAUUCUUUAAACUCAAAAUAAAAACAAACUGCUGCAACUUACCUUGUGUUCAGUUCACAUGGCAAAAGAAAUCUUAGCAGAAGGAAAUUCCCAGUGCUGCUGCUGAGAGCUCGGUGCUUGCAGGAAUGCUCAGAGGCUGCAGGUGGGAUUGGAUUUCAAAUAAAGUCUUAUUUUAAGCCAUCAGAUUUGUAGAAAGAGUUUUGAUCCCCACUUUGCCAAAAGAAGAUGUGGCCAGGCUGGAGAGGAUCCAGAGAAAGGCCAUAAAGAUGAUGCAAGGCCUGGGAAGCUCCUGUGUGAGGAGAGGCUGAGAGAACUGAGCUUGGAAAAUUGAGAUUUAGGGGAGAUCCUGUCACCAUGAUUGGUAUUUGAAGGGUGGCUACAAAAGAGAAAGAAACUCCUUUUUAUGAGGACUCAUGGAAAGCACAAGGGAUAAUCUGUACAGGUUAUUCCUGGGGAGAUUCUGAAUGGGCACCAGAGGACAAUUUUUCACCAUGAAAAAAUCAGCAGUUGGAAGUGGUGAAUUCCCCAAGUUGGGACACUUUGGGAUCCAUCGGGACAUCUUGUCUAGACAGCAUUUUUACCAAGAAAGGUUGGACCAGGUGAGCCUUGAGAUCCCUCCAACCUGGAAUUCUCUGGUUCUGUUAAUGCAGGAGCAGAAUUUCACCUCUUCCCACCAGAGGUGGCCAGCGACACAGGGCUGGUCCUGCUCUCACCAGGGUCACAUUCCUGCCCCAGUCUGGGUUCUGACAAAUCCCAGCAAAACAAGGAGGGCCUGGUGCUGGGAAUUCUUCCUGUAUCAUUUUCUGAACUGACCCAGAGCUUGUCCUGAUCCAGAGGGAAAGGCAGAGACAGAAGCAGAGCUCAGAAUUCAGUAGAAGCAUCAGGUUUUAUUUGGUAGCAGAACUGGGUUCCUUCCCCUUCACUGCUCUGAGGGAGGGGCUGGGGAGCAGCUGACCCUGAGCCCUGUGGGAGCCUGGCCUCAAGCUGAGGGAGGGCAGGGAUGGAUGGGAUGUUGGCAUGGAAUUGCUCCCUGGGAGAGUGGGCAGGCCCUGGCACAGGUGCCCAGAGCAGCUGUGGCUGCCCCUGGAUCCCUGGCAGUGCCCAAGGCCAGGCUGGAACAGCCUGGGACAGUGGGAGGGGGCCCUGCCCGUGGGAGGAGACUGGAACGAGAAGAGCUUUAGGAUCCCUCCCAACCCAACCAUUCUACGAUCCCAGGGCAGCUCCCAGCCCAUCUCCUGCGGGGAGUGGUGUGUCCUGGGCAGAACACAACGAGAUUCUCCCCCUCAGCAGCCACCAGAGGUCUGGGAGCAGAGCUGCUGGGUGUCACUUUUCCUGUUGCCACGUGAGAGGGAGGCAGGAGCGGGA